UUGCAAGCACAGACUAUUGACUACCUUCAGGGUGCACAUGGUUCUGAGAUAUUUAGAAUUUCAGGGCCUCUGAUGGCUGGGUCCUGAUGGAGGAAGCCACAUCUAAGCUAAGGAUGUCUUCACUGUAACCUCUGCCUCAGCAAGCUUUUCCCUUGCUGAUCCCAUCAGAACCAUCCCCAUUUGAGCUUCAGACUCCCCUCUGCCAACACUUAAUCUCCUCUUUCAGCAAGAGUAAACAGAUGACAGAAUGUUCUUCCCUGAAGCUUACUAAAACUUUAAGUCCCGGUGUUAUUCUCCAAAGGAAGCUGCUUUCUUCUGGCCACCAGGUCACCAGCUCCUAUAGUGAGCUCUGAGCAGAUUCUAGUCAGCCUCUUUAAGGGGCUGGGACUAAUCGCUGUGACCUCAAUCAAGCCUGCUGGUUUUAUGAUACCAGGAAGGCUCACCAGGUGAACUUCUGCUCCUUUUAGGAGGCUAAGCAUCCCCCAGCCACCUUGGACUUGAGCAGUGUUACCUGCCAGCAAGCGCAACAGUGCCAACCACUGGUCUCUUCUUUUGGAAAACGUUUGACUUUUAACUUGCUUUCUUCUCUAUUUCAUCAUUAUCCUCCUUUCCGACUUUCAUGUACUCCUAAAAUUUUUGGUUGUAGAACUAAGCAAGAGAAUGAGAACUGGGAAGAACCUUGGAACAAUGCUGAGAGGCUGCCCAGAUGCUCUUCUGUGUUCCACAGUACUGCCGAAUCUUCCUUGUGGCUCUGGUACUGUAGUGCCACUCAAAUUUUGGUACAAACCAUUGAAGUAUUUUUUGCUUGUUUUUCUUGGUCUACAUAGUAAUCUUAGUGUUCUGUUCCUGGAAUAGUCUCUCAGUUAGCACAUUCCCUCUUGUCCUGAGAUCACCAAGCCCUUCAAGAUUAAGGCUCUUGCUGUCUACCCUGCCAGCUCUGACGCAAAGCAAACACCCUUUUCUACUCUGCAGUAUGAAGUGCUCAGGACUGUGUUUUUAGCUGUUCAGAAUGUUAGAGUUAUUCAUGUUGGUUAGUGGAGUUAUCCUUCAGUGUAGAAAGAGAAAACUGCAAGAAAAACUGGCACUAACUUAAGUGGCCUCUGACACCUUCCCUAACCCUGUCCCAGUUUGUGUCACAUUCUACAAUAGAUGAGUGAUCGUGAUCAGCAAAACUGUUUCUUUCCUUCCUUCCUUCCUCUUUCUUUCUUUUUCUUUCUUUCUUUCUUUCUUUCUUUCUUUCUUUCAUAUCUAUCUAUGUAUCUAUGUAUCUAUCUAUCUAUCUAUCUAUCUAUCUAUUUAUUUAUUUAUUUUGGUGUUUGUUAUAGCAGAAUUUGAUUCAUGAGAAAAUCAUCAGGCAGCUGGUAAGUCCCAGCUUCUCCCAAACUCUAUGUAACCUGUCCCCAGCCACCUAUCUUGACCCAGUGUUCCUCAUGUUUUAAACUAGCUGGCAAACACAUUUGCACAGCCUUAUUGUGGGAACAUUCAACUUGGCAAUAAGUACUUUGCUCUUGAUAGGAUCUCAAAGAUUCCUUCAGACCAAGAGAGACUCCAGCAAGCAUACAGUUAGAUACGGUUGCCCAACCUGCACAUCCCUGUGCCUGCCUCCCAACACAAGUCAAAUGUGGGAACCAAUCCCCCACCAACUACACAUACACACACAAACACACACCUCUGUCCUUUUUGGUAUUAGUAUUCCUUUUUUUUUUAAUUUUCACGCAUCUCUUCAAAAUCUGGACCUCAGGCUCUACAGCCCUGGGUUGUCAUAAAUAGCUCAAAAAUGAGAAAUCAUGACUUCGGCUUUCUUUUUUAAAAUUACUUUAAUAAAUACCCCAACAUGUUCACCUAUACCACUGUACAGACUUUGUUUGUUUGUUUGUUUGUUUAAGUGCUUCCAGACCUGUAGUUUGAAUAUAUGUAGUUCAGGGACUGUUGUUUCUAGGCAUUCUACCUAGGAGUUUGUGCCUGUGGAGCAUGUGGAUGCCCCACCCCUGAGCUACACCCAACCCAUACAGAAGUGAUGACGGGAGUGUUUCCAGAGUUCUAGCCUGUGGUAUUAAGACUUAAAAAAAAAAUGUAAUGAUUUUUUUAAGCCUUUCCUUUUCUGGUUGCCCUUGCAAUUAAAUUAAAUAAAAAGAGGCAUAUGUUCAAAGUUUUACUGUGGCAGCAGUUAAACAUACAACUAAGCCCUGUCAAGAAACAAUCAGGUGGGGAGAUAGAUGCUUAAGUCUACAAACUGCUGUCUUCGAGAAAUGUGAGAGCAGAGACCACAUACUCACGAUCUCCCUCACUCCCACACGGCAGCAAAGGAUUCCUUUCAGCUUUACCGAUUCACACUGUGGAUACAGAACAUUCUAGAAGGCCAGCUCUUGCUUCUCACCUGUGUUUAUUGUGCAGAAAGGACAAGUCUUUAGAGACAGAGGAGGCAGUAUCAUCCAGGAUAAGUUAUUAGGCCUGGCUUGCCAUUCCUUUUAAUUUAGUCCUUCAGGGAGGCUGCCAUCAAGGAACAAAGCCAGAGAGAAUGUAGAGAUAGGGCUUCUCAUGGCUGGAAAGCCAAGGCCUAUUGCUUCAACUUAUGUCCUUGAGGUACUGUGUCUGUACAGAAAAUAAGACCCUGAGAGGCCAACAAGAAAUGCAAUUUAAACUGCACCUAAGAUAAUAAAAUUGGAUGAAAAGUAAAAAGAAAAAAACAAACAGAUUUCCUGGUACUAGGGUUUCCUGUAAACACCUUGUGGGUACCUCAUAAGCAGCUGAGAUUAUUAGUGUUUGGUCCUAGUGACUAUUUCAGCUGCCUUAUCCACAUUAGCUGCUAAGAAGUGAUAACUCCCCAAGUUCCCAUAUAAAGUCUCUCCUGCUACCGUAUUACAUGGCAAGGAGAACAGGGGCUUUUGUUUGUUUGCUUGCUUGCUUGCUUGUUUUACUUCCUUGAGGUUAAAACUAGAGUCCCACCCCCACCCCAGAUUAGUCUAGAGUUGGGGCAGCAGUAAUAAAUUAGGACGCAUUCAGGUGUGACAACACAGCUACCUGUGAUGGUGAAGACCUAGAGUGACUUAGUGUAUCUGUGCAUUAAAUUAGAAAAUAUUUAGCAGAAACAUGUAGCAUAGCCGCAUUUGAAAACGAGAUUGUGCACUUGGGAGGCAGAAGCAGGUAGAUAUCGGAGUUCAAGGCCACAUGUGUUCUACAGAGUGAGUUCCAGGAUAGCCAGGGCUACACAGAGAAACUCUGUCUCAAAAACUCCAAGAAAAUAAAAAAUAAAAAAAUGAGAUUGCGUUUUGAAAAUACUUGAAGUAUUUCCUGACCUCCAGGUACCACUUUAAGCAUGCUAGAUAUCUAGGUUGGGAGUCACUGAAGCACACCCCACAGCUAUAUUGGCCAGUAAUGGAAAGUCCACUUUGUAGGAAGUUGAUAGUGCCUGCUCCACAGACGCUGUCAUUUCUUAAGCCAAUCUUUAGAAUCCCCAAAUGUUUGGGGCAGUGAAAAACAGUAAAUAUACUUUGUUAAUUAAAAACAGACUUUCUUUUUUAAUGAUAUACUUUUACAUGACAAAUUAAAAAAAAAAAAACUUGUAAUCUGUGUCUGUCACACUAAGACACCAGAUACCACAGAGAAUCUCUUAAAUCACCACCAAAGAAAUGGAGAGAAUAAAUCAAAUGUUUGAAAAAAUAGAGAAUGGCCUUGGGAGAUGGCUCAGUAUGUAAAGAACUGACCACACAACUAUGGGAGCCUGAGUCAGGACCCUCAGAACAGCUAUACAUCUGGGCAGGCAUAACAGCUUCCUGCCAUCCCUUGUCUAAGAACGCAGAGACAAGUGACACCCCGCCCCCACCCCCUGCAACAGGGCAAGCUGGCUAGCUGGAUUAGCUCUGGCUUCAAAUGGAAGGCCCUGCUCCCAUAUAUAAAGUGGAGAGAUAUUAAGGAAGAUAUUUGACAAUAACUUUAGGUCUCCAGAGGUACGUGCACACAUGUACAUCCACACCCAAAGUCACACAUGCAAAAGAAAGUGGACUAGAAUCAUAGUUAGUUCUUAGCACCUUACUGGAGUUCUUAUAGUGUGGAACUCUUGUCUUAUGGAACGAAUGUGGUAACAUUCCUACAUACAGGAGAUGGGUGGCCUCUCAGAGGGGCUCAAGUUUACCCAGAAGGCCAGUUAGUCUUUGAAGCUAGUCACUAUUCAGUUUAAUCCUUGGCAGCUAGUCUUCUUGACAUGAACUGUCUGAUUUUCGACACUAUAUAUAUAUAUAUAUAUAUAUAUAUAUAGAAAUAGAAGCAGCAAUCUAUUCAUUAUGCCAACUUUAUAGCUACUUCUGAAGACCUCAUGUUGUGCUUGCCUCUCAGAAAGAGAUGCCUACUCCUUACCUACUGCCUUCAGUAACAGCAGAGCUCCAUGGGGCUGUCCUUCAUGACAUUAUUCAAUCCUGACCUUCAUUGUGGUAUUAAUAUAAAGAAAUUUAGUCUGCAUACACGAGGUUUUGUGUUCCAACUUGCUUACUAUCCUGAGUGUCCAGGUCCCUCAUAGAGUCCAGAAGUCUCUGAAGGACUCUGAACAUUGCCAAAGGCUUCAGUGAGGGAGUCUAACAGGUCACUGCUAAAUCAAGGCUUCUAGAGAAAUGUUUUGCAGGGUGCUGCUUCAGUCAGAUUAUUUGCUGUUAGACACUGAGGCUCACAGUUUAGUGUGACUUAGUUCCAACUGUCCAGACUCCUUGCCUGGUAGAUGUAAUGUUCCGUUUUGUCAUGUGAAUUUGAAAGGUCACCAGGUGAGGGCAAAUGAAAGCCAUCACUGUGAUUUGGAAAUCAGCUCUCAGAAGCAGUUGAGUGACCUUCCUUGGACCUUCUGCAUGUCACAGUGCAUUUUAGGAUCUGUCAUAGACAAGGCUUAUGAAAGUAGCUUUUUGGGAAAUUGGAAGGAUAAGAGGGGUGGCUCACAGGAGCACAAAUGCAGACCCACAACUCAUAUCAGAGUUGAAACUGCUAGGUCCUUACUGCCAACUUCCCAGCUGGCUGGCUUGAAGAUGACAACAGCUCAGGGAGCCUUUGAGCAAGUGAAGAAAAUUAAAUCCUCAUUUCCCUGAAAAACUAAAUUCUCAGGUGGUUGCCUGACAGGGGUAAGGGGGAGAAUUUUUAAAUCAUGGCCUUUGUUGAUGUUCUCUGGCUUUUUCUUGGGAGGCUGCUUCAAGCAAUAACGUGAGGUAUGCGGUAAUCCUGUCAGGUGGUAUGCUGGGCUUUUAAGUCUUUUGCAGGUUGCCUGCUUACCCACACAAUUCACAUAGGAUCUGAAAAGCUUAACUUAUCAGGGAUGGAACUAGGUUUUACAGAGUUCCUUUAACCAAAUAGGCUUGCUACUUUUUCCUUUCUUCCUGCAUCUGCCAAGUCUUUCCGACCAUUUUCAUUGAUCUCACCAGAUGAGUAACACUUUAAAUUCCAAAGGCUUAAAAAUCAACUCCUUGUCAUUUUUUUUCCAAUUUAAUUCUUCACUCUUUGUCAUAUUUUCAUCUUCUUGCAUUAGUUCCCAUGGCAAUGUGUCUGUUGGCAGAGAAAAUUUAACUCUUUUAGUGUUGAUCACAAUGUAAAAUCCUUUUUAGGCAAGUGCCACAAAAACAAGCAGAGACUGGAAUUCUCUUGCUAAUACGUUUUAUCUCUUAUAUUGAUUUCCCAUCCUAUCCCCAAGCAAAGCUCUCACAGAAAAACAUGCAGAGGCCUUUGAGGCAGCUACAGCUUCAAGGAUUUAACCUUUGGCUUCCCAUGGCUUCCCGUUCCAAGUGUUAAAAAUAUGAAUGCAUCUAUCAGGGAUGUACAGAAGACAACUUUCAAUUUCUAUCAGAAACACCCAGUGUAUCUGAGGAAAUACACAUGUCCUAAAAUGAGCCUCAAGUCAGGGUCUAAUGGCAAGAUGAGAGGCACUUAAGCAGAUUUCCUCCCAGUAAGUAAAUGGCAAAGAGGCCAAGCAAGCUCUAAGUUCUUGAAAGAAGCAGCAAAGACUCAGGUGGAAAGCAAAUGACAUGGCUACUUGUAUGGGGGAAGCGGCACUUCAGUUCAGACAGUUUGUGAUCAAGUAUGAAAAAGCAAGCAACUGCAUCAGGCUUGAUGAUGUAUGCCUAUGAUUCCAGCAAUGGAAGGUCAAAGGCAGGAGGAUUACAAGUUUGAGGCCAGUCUGGGCUACAUGGGAAGAUCUUGCAAGGACUAGGAUUCAAGGUGCUAGGUUCAAUUCCUAGGACCUAAAAGGCCUACUAAAGCCUUUAGAAAUGCUUUAGAAAUAGAAUGUAGGGAUAAAGGGAAGAGGACUAUGCAGAAAGCCCAACCCCAAGAUUAAAUGUUUGUUUUAAACUUUAGGUUCCAUCAUGGCUUGGCAUUGGCAGCUCCUUCUACUGCUUCAGUAUCCAGAAGCAACAGGUCUACUGUCAGAAAUUGAACAGACUGACCCAAAUAUGUGUAGGAUUUUUUUUUUAAAGAAAAACUGAUGAAUUCAGGGGAAUGAAAUAGAUAUUAAAUAAAAUGUGGUUAUCUUAAGUAUAGUUAGGAAAAACGAUCAAAUGUAAUUGAUCUUCUUGCUUAGUCUAAUAAGACACUUAAGCACUAAGCUGCUUGUAUUGUAUAAAUGUAUUUUUGGCUGUUCAUAGGUUAUUUUCCUAUAUUAAGAAGUUUAUUAAAACCUUUUAUUGCAACUCAGGUUUUGUGUCUUUUAGACACACAUUUUUCUUUGCUAGUUUGUUUUGCACAGCUGGAGUUUUGAGGUGGAAUAAUGCCUGGGCAUGGCAGUCAGCUAAACUGCCUGAUAGCGAGACUAAGGAAGGUACUUGACAUGUGGACAAGCCACAUUGUUGUUUCAUAGCUCUCCAUGCCUCCACUAAAUACAGUUAGCCGGGAAAUCUCACAUGAUUUUGUUUGUUUGUGAAAAGUCUCUGGAGAAACCAAGACGAAUCUCUCAGGCAGAUAAAGAGCUUUCCGUAUUUGCCUAAACGUACUAUUGAAAUAAAUAUUAUUUUCAAUACUUGUUUUUCCACUCAGAGGGCACGCACUGGUCUCAGACCAGGGAGAGGACAUCUGGCUUAGAUCAGGACUGCUGAGUGCUGUAUAACUCUUAGGAAACUUUUGUUUUGAUGUCAGUGUCAACAGAUUGCAAGGAAUGGUUCGUAUUUCUGCUCCCAACAAUUUGAUAUUUCCUUUGCUUCCCUCCUCUGAAGAGCGAGCCUUACUGUGAUGUGAUGGAGUAAAGACAAAGGCAAUUGACAGGCAAACCGCACUUUUGUUGGAAGAGCCAGUUAAGUUCUCUUUGUACUCAGUGAAUGUGAGGGACCAAAGGCAGAUUGAGAAUGUAAAACUGUUUAUACAUGAAGGAAGGGGCACUGUCCAGGGCUGGCAGGAAGCCAGAGGUAGAUCUAUUGAACUUCAAAGAGUAAGGUCAUUGCAAGGUCACUACAGGUUAUAACAAAACCAGAAUUUUCUUUCCUACUUACAGCCAUGAAAGGGCACCUCACCGUCAGCUGUGUAUGAGAAACUCAUACUGCAGUCUCAUUCUUUUCAGGAAAGAAACAUUAAGUAAUUCUGAUGGAAGAAUAGAAAAGUAAUUCUGAUGGAAGACAAUGGUGGGUUUACAAGAGGUUUGUAAAGAAUUAUACAAACACACUACAGACUGAUUUUUUUUUAAACACUCAUGAAAUUUAUUUUUCACUUUCAAAACUAUCAGAUUGAUGAUUUCUUGCCCUCAGUAAUUUGUGGGAGAUGAACGUAUUUCAUUAUUCUGUAAAUGUUUUAUGUGUCAAGCACAUAAAAAUUUUGAGGUCAUAUUUGCCAGUUAACAUUUCAUCCUCGUAAAAAGUCGUAAGAGAAAUUCCUAAGUGGUGACGCAGCUUUGGUUCUCUUGACCAUACUCUCUGAUGGGAUCUGGCUUCAUUACCAUAAGUGCAGUACCCGGGUAACAGAUCUGCAGUAACCGCAGGAAUCUUCCCUCAGAACCAGAACUGGGACCUCAUUCCUAAAUCUCCCAUCUAGCUGAUGACAGGUGGCAGGUGAGUGUUCCUUCUGUCCAUCCUUUGCUGUCUAUGUGGACAUUCUGAUGUGUGUCAGUGAGCUGAAUUCUACACGCUGUAUAUAUUGCAUGCAUUUCACUGCAGUCUAUGGACAUGCCCUUUGUAGAGCUUUUAUGGAAGAACCAAGAAGCCAAGGCAGUUUAGCAAACGAGGCUCAAUAUUUAUAACCUGGGGCCUUUUCUGUCUCUUUGCUAGCCUAGGUGGCUGUAUACAAACUGGGUGGGAGGGGCAGCAAACACCUCACACAUCACAUUUAGAUUUUCUACUUGGGUGUACUCUAGCCAAUUCAAAACAAAUUGCUUACUUUAAUAAUAAAGUUUACCAUUUUAUAUUAAAGAAAAUCAAACCAUGACAUGUUUAAUUGAACUGGCUGUAUUGUAAUUAAUAUUUUGAGAUAAUUGUGAUUUUCAGCUUAAAAUUAUAUAUAAAAAUUGUCAUUUUUGUAUGUGUUAAAAAAAACAAACAAUGUACCAUGAUUAACAGUACUUUUUAGUUAAACUACAUAUUGGUGUAAAUAAAACUGAAUGAAGAAACACUUACUACUUUACUAACUUAGAUUGUGAAUGUACUUCAUGGUUUUUUGCCAUAUGAGACCAUAACAACCUUGAAAGAAAGCUGUUUAAUUUUAUGUGCAAAGUCCCACUAACCUGUAUUUCAACUCUGCCAAGCCAAUGACUUUGCAAGUGUGAUCUGUACUCUCCAGCUGUGUCUUACGUUCUGACACUAUGGGUUAGGGGUAGGGUGUAGCCUGGAAGCAUCUGCAGAUGCGCUUUGUACAGAUAAUAGCGCUGUGUGGUGUAUAGCAGAGCCAUUUUUAGGUUCUGUUGUACUCAAUUUUUUCAGAAUUUAAAAAAGUGUUUUGAAUAACAUAAAAGUCUAUUGUAUAAAUAAUAAAAUGUCACCUUAUUA
ensembl:antisense B230334C09Rik RIKEN cDNA B230334C09 gene